ACAGUAUAUUGUGUUACAGGUACUCCGAAUCGGGGUAUAAAAGGGAAGACGGGUGCAAAUCCCGCGCGGUCCCGCCGCUGUAAGGGCGAAGCAGGGUACAAAGCCACUGAAUGAUAUUCGGGAAGGCGUACACUGCGUCUGACGCCCAAGCCAGAAGACCUGCCUGUAAACUUCAGUACGCU
rnacentral:ncRNA from 15 species